GAUGAAGAACGUAGCGAACUGCGAUAAGUAAUGUGAAUUGCAGAAUUCAGUGAAUCAUCGAGUCUUUGAACGCACAUUGCGCCCGCUGGUAUUCCGGCGGGCAUGCCUGUUCGAGCGUCAUUUCAACCCUCAAGCCCCCGGGUUUGGUGUUGGGGAUCGGCUCUGCCCUUCUGGGCGGUGCCGCCCCCGAAAUACAUUGGCGGUCUCGCUGCAGCCUCCAUUGCGUAGUAGCUAACACCUCGCAACUGGAACGCGGCGCGGCCAUGCCGUAAAACCCCAACUUCUGAAUGUCGACCUCGGAUCAGGUAGGAAUACCCGCUGAACUUAAGCAUAUCAAUAAGCGGAGGA
rnacentral:misc_RNA from 1 species